rnacentral:rRNA from 1 species
CUCUAGCAUCACUAGUAUUAGAGGCACUGCCUGCCCAGUGACAUAUGUUUAACGGCCGCGGUAUCCUGACCGUGCAAAGGUAGCAUAAUCAUUUGUUCCUUAAAUAGGGACUUGUAUGAAUGGCUUAACGAGGGUUUAACUGUCUCUUACUUUCAAUCAGUGAAAUUGACCUUUCCGUGAAGAGGCGGAAAUAAUUAAAUAAGACGAGAAGACCCUAUGGAGCUUAAAUUUACUAAUCUAGGCAUUCCAAUAACAUUCUACGGAACACUAAAUCAAGCCCUCAGAUUACAAAUUUUGGUUGGGGUGACCUCGGAGUAAAAUAUAACCUCCGAAUGAUGCUAGCCCAGACUAGACCAGUCUAAGCUUCUAUUCAUUAAUUGACCCAAACUUAUUGAUCAACGGAACAAGUUACCCUAGGGAUAACAGCGCAAUUCUACUCAAGAGUCCAUAUCGACAGUGGAGUUUACGACCUCGAUGUUGGAUCAGGACAUCCAAAUGGUGUAACCGCUAUUAAUGGUUCGUUUGUUCAACGAUUAAAGUC